GACUUAAUUCUUUGAGCCUUAGUAGAGAAAUCAACUAAGUGAUUGUUUCCACAUUCAGGGAAACCUAGGGUUAAUUUUAUAUAUUAAGGUAAUCCUGAGCCAAAUUUUUAUUUAUAAAAUAGGUGCAGAGACUCGAAGGAAACUAUCCUAACGAAAAAUUUUUUCGGUAUUAAUCAGUAGAAUUUUUUUUGUUUCAUUACAAAAAAAACUAUAUUUGAAAUAAUAAAAAUAUCUAAUAAUUAUUAUUCAUUUUUCAAUCCAUAAUUAUAGACGAGGAUAAAGGGAGAGUCCUUUUUUACAAAUAUAUAUAUAUAAUCUAUAUUUUAUUAUAUGUCAUUGUAAAAAGAAAAUCCGUUGGCUUUAUAGACCUUGAGGGGUUCAAGUCCCUCUACCCCCA
rnacentral:tRNA from 1 species